rnacentral:rRNA from 1 species
AUUCCAGCUCCAAUAGCGUAUAUUAAAGUUGUUGCAGUUAAAAAGCUCGUAGUUGGAUUUCUGGGCCGGAGAGCUGGUCUCGCCCGCAAGGGCGCUGCACCGUGCUCUGCCGGCUCAUCCUCGGGUGGGUCCGUACUGGCAUUAGGUUGUUGGUUCGGGGAAGCCCGUCUUUUACUGUGAAAAAAUUAGAGUGUUCAAAGCAGGCUUACUGCUUGAAUAGUUGCGCAUGGAAUAAUAGAUUAGGAAGUCGUUUCUAUUUUGUUGGUUUUCGGAAAUCGACUUAAUGAUUAAUAGGGAUAGUCGGGGGCAUUCGUAUUCAAACGACAGAGGUGAAAUUCUUGGACCGUUUGAAGACGAACUAAGGCGAAAGCAUUUGCCAAGAAUGUUUUCAUUG